CUCGCCUUUCUCACCGGGCAGCAAAGCUAACUAAUUCUAAGAGCAGCCUAUGUAUUGAACACACUUUCCCAACUGAAUCAAGCUUAGAACCACAUUCGAUAUUUAUGUACUUGGACAUUUGGCAGCCAAUGUGAAGCAUAGAUGCGCAACGAGGCUCAAGGAAUAAAAGGCAGAGGUAAAUUCUUUCUAGGUGUUAUCUUAUCUACUACCAAACAAGGCCUAAAGGAAUCAAUUUGCAUACAAUUCAUUUCUAUCAAAAACCAAAGGAAUUUAUUUACAAGAUAAUUUACCUCUUAAGCUUCCUAGCAGCUUUCGUAUGUCGACAAACACACUAACUGUUUUUAAUUGACUCUGUUCUGCAAUUAUUACAAGAGUAAGUUAUUUCUGUAAAUCAAUAAAAGGACUUCCAAACAUAUGCACAAUCAUGUCGAGAGGAGAGAUACUCACCAUUAUGUGGUCAAAAAAAGGCAAUCAUGUGACUUAUUUUUAGGAUAUUUGACAACAAAGGGGGGAACACACACUAAUUCUGGCCCCCUCGCUUCUUCUUCCAAUGCCGAUCCAACUUGUUUCAAUAUAUCAUUGAAUAGGAUUUCUAAAAAAACCAUCACUUAGUAGGUAGAUAAUGUGGGAAACAAAGUAAACAAAUACCAAUUAAUAGGCAUAAGGGUAAGAUAUGGGAAACAAAAUUAGGGAUGAAUCAUUGCAAGCUAUUACUUCAAAUAUGAUCUCAAAAUCAAUAAUAUAAACAGCCGAUUCAAACACGUCUAUGUAAGUAUAGUGUUUCUCAGUUUUAACAAACGGAGAUAAAUUAAGGCAUUAUGGAGGACUAUUACCUACGUAUAUGAUCUCAAAAUACAAAAAGAGACGCGAUUAGAUCAGAUUAGGGAGGCCAACAAACAUAUAGUAUAAACGAUUGACAAUCACAGUGAGUGAAUGUAUGAAUGAAACUUACUGUCUCCGCCAACAAAGGUAGCAUCAUCACUCCUCCCUAAGAUUCCAAAUCCGACGAGAUCAAAAUAAUCACCAUCACGAUCAAUUUUAAAAAUACGCGCACCCAACCUUUCGCUUGGAAUUUGUUCGCCCUCAAUUGGUUGGGGGCGGUCGGAAAGAUAAUAAUUGCCACCACUAUCAAUUGCCAAAUACCGUCCACCAUCGAUUUGCAAACAAUAAUCAUCUUCAAUGCUGCUGCUGUUGUCUCCAACUCGGGGAGGGGAAGAUAUAAUCGAUCUGUUGUCUGCAUAAUGCAUAGCGAUAGAGAGGGCCAGAGGAAUGCCAAGCGGACCACAAUGUUUUUUUGUCUGCAAUUAUUACAAGGAGUAUAUUAUUUUCAAAACAUAUGAUCAAUCGAAGAGAAAUACUCACCGUAGAUUGGUCGUAAGCCGUAGGCACAUAUUCCUUUUGAGGCAUUUUAGGAUAUUUGGCAACAGCCGGGGGAAGAAACACUGGUCGUGCAAGAUCUCUCUUCCAGUCAAGAUCAAAUAGUUCAUUGAAUAAGAUUUCUACACAAACACACCAAUUAGUAGUUAGAUAUUGUUCAUGAUCAAACACAUGAUCUAUUCCUAAUUAAAAAAUAAUUCAUUAAUUUAAAGAGUAUUUUUCAAAGAAUUAUUUGUUGAAACUACCCCCAACUCUCGAAACAAAGGAAGCAAUCAUUGCAGACUAUUACUAAUUAACAAUAGAAAUUUAGCUUACCGUCCCCGGCAGUCCAGAUAUGGGUAAAUCACCCGCUAAGACUCCAAAUGUGACGAGCUCAAAAUAAUCACCGCCACGAUCUACUUGAAAAACAGGAACACCUGACCUUUUGUUUGGAAUUUUUGGCCUUUAAUUGAUGUGGGUGGUCGGAAAGAUAAUAAUUUCCACCACCACUAUCAAUUGCCAAAUACCGACCACCAUCGAUUUGCAAACAACAAUCAUCUUCAAUGCUGCUGCUCUUGUCUCCAACUCGGGGAGGGGAAGAUAUAAUCGAUCUGUUGCCUGCAUAAUCCAUGGCGAAGAGAGGGACAGAGAAUGCCAGAGCGAGGCGGAAGCGGCGGCCGCGCUUUGCAAAGGAGAAGCGGUGCAAUAAGGGUUCAAACGAAGAGAAAAUAUGAUGUAUUUAUUUUUAUUUUGGUCAAAAUUGCAUACAAUCAAAGGUUCAAUUCAACUAGGGUUCUAAAAACUGAUUUAUUUUUAUUUUGGGUCAAAUAUGUAGGUUUGGCUGCCGCCAUAUAAGACUACCCACAGUCGUGACACUCUCCAACCAACCUUACUCAACUUUUUAAUAAAAUAUUCAUUUUCUCUCAUCCACCUACACAACCCACAACUAAUAUAAUUUUCACUCCAAUGGUGACACAACCCAACCUACAUAUUUUUCCUUUUCACUUUAUUUUUAAUUAUCUAAUAUCUAAAAUAAAAUAUAAAUUAAAAUUAAAUAUUUAUUUAUUAUAUUUAACAAAAUAAAAUAAAUAUUUAUUUAUUUGUUCUUCAAUAAAAAACUCAUUUACAAUAUUUUAUAUUUUAAACUUAUAUAAUCGUAUUAAAAAAAUUAUAUGAUAAGUGUUAAAAAAAUACUAUAUAUUAUAAUUGAUAUUUUAUUCAAUAACAAAUGAAAAUGAUAAAAAUUAAAACACAAAAUUGGAAAUAAAGCUACAAAUUGAUAUGUGAAAUAAUAAAUUAUAACUAAAAAGAUACAAAUUAAAUAUUUAUUUUGUUUUGUGAAAAUAUAUUAAAAUUUGACUUUAUUUAUAGAGAAAAUAAUAAUAUGAAUUUUAAUGUAAUUUUUAUUUUCAAUAAAGAAUUAACUAUGAUAAAAUAUAGCUUCCAAAAACUAUGAUAAAAUAUAUUUAAAAUAUAAAAUUUUAAAAACGAAUANAAACAUGCCAUGUGUAAAAAGAAUAAUAAAGUACAAAUGGUGACUUAGGGUGGAUGGCCGCCUCGGUCACGGAAAUUCGUGACUUUAUGAUUUUUUUUUUUUUCAUCUAUUUUUUCUUAUCCGCGUGACACUCCCCCAAAGUCACGGUUGGGAGUAGUCUAAGCAAGGAUUUUAAAUCGAACUCUGUUUAUUGUUAGAAAAAAAACACAAAAACUUAAAUGAGCGCCGUUCAAAUCAUGCGCUCACAGAAUGCGCGCGGGUCUGGGUCGGGUCGGACCCGAGACCCGGAUCCAACUUAUAUAUUAAAAAAAAAACCUCAGCUCCUUCUCUCUGCGUCUCGCUCUUCUCACAUUUCAGAUCGGCCAAGGAGAAUUCGUCGCCUCCCAAAUACUUGAGCAAGCUCUCUUCAAGAUUAUCGAUGGUUCUGUUGAAGAGAUUAAAUGCAAGGUUUGCAUGCUUCUUUGGCAAAUAUGGAAGGACCGAAAUAUAGUGGUUUGGAAUAAUGUUUUUCCUGUUCCGACGACCUCGAUUUCUCACGCAAUCAAUGCUCGGAUGGAAUGGUUGGUGGCCUGGGCCAAGAACUCGCCGAGAAGCACUCCGACGACAGCCAAGGUGAUCUGCAAAGGCUGGCACGCUAUUCCCUUGGAUGUUGUCAAGUGCGAUGUGGACGCAGCAUUCUUCAAGGAAGAUGGCUCCAUGGGUAUAGGGGUCAUUAUUCGCAACCAUGAGGGCGUUUUCAUCCGAGGGAAAUCCUUUAAGAUGCCUGGCUCAAGGAGUGUCGAAGAGGGAGAUCUUAUUGGCAUUAAGGAAGCUCUCUCUUGGCUUAUGGAGUUGGGGUUUGAGCGUGGAUGGGUGGACUCGGAUAGCAAACAGGCUUGUGAUAUUAUCAACACUGGUGAGAGGAAUAUCCUGGAGCUGGGUGCUAUAGCGUCUCAUUGCCGUGUGUGUGAAAAUAUUUUAAAAUUUAAAAUAUUAAAACAAAUAAGCUAUGAAAUUUUUAAAAUUUAAAAUAUUUUAUUGUUUUCUCUCUUCAUUAAUUUUUUACUACCUUUUAUUAGCCUUUGUGUGUGAAAAUAUAUAUCUAUGUAUUAAAAUAUUAUUUUAUAUUUGUUUAUAUUUGGAUUCGAUUCAAUAUUUAUAUUUAUUUAUUUAAACAUAUUUAAUAUCUAUAUUCGUCAUGAACCGCACAGAUGAACGUACUAGUUAUUAACAUGUAAUACUCCAUAAAACAAACACAAAAUCCCAACAAUAUUCUCAAACUAGUCUUUUUUUCAAAGAUUCGACAUAAUUCAUAAAUACUACUUUUUGUUCAAAAAUCCAACAUAAAUAAGCAUAUUAAUAUAGAAAUGACCAGCUAAAUAUACAUCCAGAUAGUCUUUUUUUCAGCAACUCAUUAAAGGAUCAUGCUCCUGCAUAAAGAACAAAACCUGAAGAUAUAUACAUACAUACCUAAUAUGAAAAGAAUAAUUGAUUAAUAAACCUAGUAGAGAUUUUGAGACAAGUUUUGGGAACAAACAUACCUCAACAGUUAGCAUAGUACUAGGUUAACAGUCCGUGUUAUGUGACUCCACUUCAUGGCUUCUGCAUAUUGAUUGAUAAACUUACUAUCUUAUCAAGUGGAUCUAAAAAUAAAUAUAUGCAGGUCUUAAUAGCUAAAGGUAGGAGAUAAACCCGAAUUAAUUAGCUUGAAAAGAAAUCAAUAUUAAGGAGGAAUACAACAACUCAUUUGGUAGGCAUGUACAAUUUGUAUCAACCCACUGCCGUUGCAAGAGAAAUAUGAGCCUCCCCGUUUGCAUUCAACUGAAAGCUGCAAGAGACCUCGCCUUUCUCACCGGGCAGCAAAGCUAACUAAUUCUAAGAGCAGCCUAUGUAUUGAACACACUUUCCCAACUGAAUCAAGCUUAGAACCACAUUCGAUAUUUAUGUACUUGGACAUUUGGCAGCCAAUGUGAAGCAUAGAUGCGCAACGAGGCUCAAGGAAUAAAAGGCAGAGGUAAAUUCUUUCUAGGUGUUAUCUUAUCUACUACCAAACAAGGCCUAAAGGAAUCAAUUUGCAUACAAUUCAUUUCUAUCAAAAACCAAAGGAAUUUAUUUACAAGAUAAUUUACCUCUUAAGCUUCCUAGCAGCUUUACGUAUGUCAACAAACACACUAACUG
rnacentral:lncRNA from 1 species